rnacentral:ncRNA from 1 species
ACCUUUGCCUGAAGGCGAAUAUGUCAAUGACUCAACUCUUUACAAAGGUAAGCCGACGACCGAAGCCCCGGUGAAUGGCGACCGUAACGAUAACGGUCCUAAGGUAGCGAAAUUCCUUGUGGGGUAAGUUUCGACAUGCACGAAA